GGCACACACCGACUCACGAGGAUAUCUCCUUCGGUAAGUGUCGAGUCUUUCCACUCCCUUUCUAUGAACGUUGCUCCUGCCUUUUUCUUUUUCCUACGUUGAUUUCUGUUUCCGGUUCCGCGCCAGAUUUCCCGCUAAGCAAAACGGUGAACCUUCGAGGAUAUUCUUCCAAUCGAUUUUCCUCUCGAUAUGGUGCAUAGUUCGGGUUGAAUCGUAAUAGGUUAGGAUAUCGCGCGGCGAUGUAUUGUAUAUUGCGUAAUAUGGUAAUUUUGAACGUGUUUAAGAAAUGUGAAUGCGUUUGGAUGAAGAAUUGGGUGGAUAGGUUAGUGAUUUUUGUGGAGUGAUGUGCAAGUGUUUUUGGGAUUUAGUAGAUUUUGUUUAAGAUUUGAAGAAUUCACGUCAGUGUUUGACGUGAAAAGUUGAAUAGUGGUUUUAAUAUUAAAUUCGAAGUGUUUAAUUCGGACUCUGCAUAAAUUUUUGCAUUUGCGUAUUAUUUUAAUGGGAAUGAUAGAGUUUCCGUAUAAAACAAUGGGAUACGAUAUUGUAAAUACACAUCGUCUGUUUCCACGAGUUCAUAUUUAUAUUCCCAGGAGUCGUUUUUUUAUCUUCGAUGUGUAUGGACAAUUAUCGAGCUUGCCGAUGAUUACAUUAUAUCUUGACCUUCAUCAAGCAUGCCGUUGGAUCAUCAGCCUUCGGAUAAAUUGCUCUUACGUUCUCUAACUGAUUAACAGUGAAAGUAUUAGUUUCUGACUUAGAGAAUAGAAAAAAGUGGAAAAAAUUUCCAAUCAAGAUUUUUUAAAAUAAUUAAUCAUAUUCUCAUUCGAGAUAUUUUAAACAUUCAUGAAUAUUAAAAUUUGUCUUCAAGUCCAUUCGAUCAAGAUUUAGAUAGACAAUAAUGCGUGAAUAUAUCCCGCCCAUGAUAGCAAAAACAGGUACCGUUAGCGGAUUAUUAAUAUUCAUGAUGUCAGCGAUACGCUUGGGUAUUGCGAUACAAGGUUUCCUUGUACCUAUUCAUCGAACGUGUCUGUUUCUCGGAAAAACGAGCAACUGCGUAUCGGUAUGCAAGCAAUAAUGCAAUACGAUUGAUCGUUGUGCAACGCUGCACCGCCAUCGAUACUGUUUCAAAGCGUGUAUUAGCGCCGAGCGAUCGAAAAAUUCUAACAAUCUUUACUCGCUUCUAGAAAUUAAAAAUUGUUAUUAUAAAAUUUUCUGUAUAAAUAUUGUUUUACAAUUAAUUUCCUCCCCUUUUUAAUUUUUAUUUUAUUGCACGUACAUAUAGUAUAAAUCUAUCUAAUUCACCGUUUCAUCACUUCCUCUUUCAAAUUUCCCUCGUAAUUAUUUGUCUCUAUUAUACAAACGCACUCGCGCAUGCGCGCACAUAGUCAACAUGGUGUCGAAAACGCUUUCACGUUCCAACACCUGCUAAUUACUUCGGAACGCUGGGAAUAUUGAUGGCAGUGUUUAGACGAGAAAUUGUUACUCGACCGUCAUUGUCAUCUCCGUAAUUACCGGUCACGGAAUGAUUAUUGACUCGCCACGAUGCUGAUUAUAACGACGGGCAGCGACAGUGUUCAUUGCGUGCCGCCGGCCUAUUAAUACGUUUCUUUUGCGAGCGUGUUGACCGAGGUCAUGGAUGGAACAAAGAGAAACAUCGACACUCUCAUAUACCACACCGCACCGUGGAUCUUCAUUUUGAAUUAUGCCUUAUUGUGCCUCGUCUCGAAUCGCGACUGGCAUUGUGCUAAGGAUACGUGGACGUGAUUGUUUGCCUUUGACUCGAGUCACACCCUGGGUCAAUAUAUUCCUCGUGGCGAGUGUGGCGCGGCCAUUGCUGGCACACGGAAGCAUAUCGUCUAUCGCUUCGAGACGGAUGACCUUCCGAAGGUCAGCGCCUUUACUCCUCGAAGCCAUGCAGUUACACGCAAUAGUAUUCCGUCAAUAAUCCUGUACGUGUAACAAAUUGAAUGCAUUUAAUUAAGUUUCGGAUGGCACGGCAACAUCGGUGGAAUAAUAUAAAGUAUGGACGGAUGGUAAUGCAAAUAAUUAACAACUGUUGAAGUUAUUUUUGCCUGAUGAAUGGGACAAGUUUAAGGGUAAAAAAAGGAAAGUGUAUUUUUAAUGUAUUAAUUGGAGAUAGGUGGAUUCGUGUUUAAAUCGUUUACUAUCGUUUCAUAAUGAUUUUAUUCCUUUUUUCUUUUUUUUCAAUGAUUAAUUUAGUUUCGUAACUCCAAGUUUCCAUGAGUUAUCUCUCCUUAAAAUUCAAGGAUCUUCGAAUGCAAUUCUGUUUCAGAAAACAAUACACUUUCGUGUAUUCUUUGAUUCUUUGUUCAAAAUAAUAAAGCUAUACUGAAAAAAGUACAUUAUCUAAUUUUUAUAAAACUACGAAAUAAGAUCUUCUUCUAAGAUUCUUUUCUUUUUAUUUAAAUAUAAGAUGAAAAAGUUUUUUAAUGCAACUCCAUCAAUCCUAUUCGCUAAUUGCCUCGUACCAACGUCUAAUAUAUCGUUCACAGGUUGCAAUUAUCAAAAAUGAUCGGAAUGAUUGAUCGAAAUCUAGUUGUCAAUCCGUCCUUGCAAAAGUUCCCUCAGCUAGCCUCAAGGAUGACCAGUAAUAAUUCUUCAGGAACUAGAAUAUCGAUCCUGCCGUCUAACGACGUGUCAUUCCAAACAGAUCCCACGAUCCCGAUGCUUACGUAAAUAAUUGCCGUUCCAGUUUGUUUGCACGUCGCAUUUGCACGCUUAAGACUUGAUUGCAUCGUGGUUGACGGCGACGUUACGGAACGCAGCCCUACUUCAUGUUAAGAGGCAAUCCUAUCCAGAAGUGUCGACCUUGUUUUGCAACAAUGUUAUGGAUGUACCACAUGUUAUUACAAGCAAUGUGCAAUGUCGAAAAGAGAAUGGUAAUAGUUAUCGUGGCCAUGCCAGGAACACGACGUUCCUUCUUUUCUGAAAUAAGUGCAGUCGAAGUUGAUGCAUAAAUUAAUCCAAGGUUAAGGAGUACGCUUGCACUCCAGAUGCAA